AGGAGGGUUCGAUCAUGGCUCAGAUUGAACGCUGGCGUGGAUGCUUUGGCACACAUGCAAGUCGAACGGCACGGACUUCGGUCUGCGGCGAGUGGCGAACAGUAGUAAUGUAUCGGAACGUGCCUAUAGUGGGGGAUAACUACGCGAAAGCGUAGCUACACGUAUACGUUCUUCGGGGGAAAGCGGGGGACCUUUCGGGCCUCGCACUAUUAGAGCGGCCGAUAUCGGAUUAGCUAGUUGGUGGGGUAACGGCUCACCGCAUGGCGACGAUCCGUAGCUGGCUCUGAGAGGACGACCAGCCACACUGGGACUGAGACAUUGCCCAGACUCCUACGGGAGGCAGCAGUGGGGAAUUUUGGACAAUGGGGGAAACCCUGAUCCAGCCAUCCCGCGUGUGCGAUGAAGGCCUUCGGGUUGUAAAGCACUUUGGCAGGAAGAACCGGCACGUAUGGGGCACCCAGGUAACUGAUUUACAGCUCCGCAGAAUAAGCACCGGCUAACUACGCCAGCAGCCGCGGUAAUACGUAGGGUGCAAGUGUUAAUCGGAAUUACUGGGCGUAAAGCGUGCGCAGGCGGUUCGGAAAGAAAGAUGUAAAAUCCCAGAGCUUAACUUGAACUGCAUUUCUUAAUUACCGAGCUAGGAGUGUGUCAGAGGGAGGUGGAAUUCCGCGUGUAGCAGUGAAAUGCGUAGAUAUGCGGAGGAACACCGAUGGCGAAGGCAGCCUCGAUAACACUGACGCUCAUGCACGAAAGCGUGGGGAGCAAACAGGAUUAGAUACUCCCGAAUCACGCCUCUAAACGAUGUCAACUAGCUGUUGGGGGCCUACCUUGGUGGUAGCAGCUAACGCGUGGCUGGGACCGCCUGGGGAGUACGGUCGCAAGAUUAAACCCAAAGGAAUUGACGGGGACCUGCACAAGCGGUGAUGAUGUGGAUUAAUCUGAUGCAACGCGAAAAACCUUACCUUACCCUUGACAUGUCUGGAAUCCUGAAGAGAUCGGGAGUGCUCGCAAGAGAACCGGAACACAGGUGCUGCACGGCUGUCGCCAGCUCGUGUCGUGAGAUGCUGUUAAGUCCCGCAACGAGCGCAACCCUUGUCAUUAGUUGCUACGAAAGGGCACUCUGAAUGAGACUGCCGGUGACAAACCGGAGGAAGGUGGGGAUGACGUCAGUCCCCGCGGCCCUUGGCGUAGGGCUUCAUGACGUCAGCAGGAACGGUCGGGGACGAGGGUCGCAUAACCCGGGCGAGGGGGAGCCAGAAUCCCAGAAACCCGAUCGUAGUCCGGAUCGCAGUCUGCAACUCGACUGCGUGAAGUCGGAAUCGCUAGUAAUCGCGGAUCAGCAUGUCGCGGUGAAUACGUUCCCGGGUCUUGUACACACCGCCCGUCACACCAUGGGAGUGGGUUUUACCAGAAGUAGUUAGCCUAACCGUAAGGAGGGCGAUUACCACGGUAGAUCCAGAUCAGGGGUGAAGUCGUAACAAGGUAA
rnacentral:rRNA from 1 species